rnacentral:piRNA from 1 species
CCAAAGCUGUGAGCACCGACCAAAAGGG